GAUGAACGCUGGCGGCGUGCCUAAUACAUGCAAGUCGAGCGAACGGACGAGAAGCUUGCUUCUCUGAUGUUAGCGGCGGACGGGUGAGUAACACGUGGAUAACCUACCUAUAAGACUGGGAUAACUUCGGGAAACCGGAGCUAAUACCGGAUAAUAUUUUGAACCGCAUGGUUCAAAAGUGGAAUACGGUCUUGCUGUCACUUAUAGAUGGAUCCGCGCUGCAUUAGCUUGUUGGUAAGGUAACGGCUUACCAAGGCAACGAUGCAUAGCCGACCUGAGAGGGUGAUCGGGCAGACUGGAAGGGAGACACGGUCAAGACACCUACGGGAGGCAGCAGUAGGGAAUCUUCCGCAAUGGGCGAAAGGCUGACGGAGCAACGCGGAGUGAGUGAUGAAGGUGUUCGGAUCGUAAAACUCUGUUAUUAGGGAAGAACAUAUGUGUAAGUAACUGUGAAGAUAGUGACGGUACCUAAUCAGAAAGCCACGGCUAACUACGUG
rnacentral:rRNA from 1 species